rnacentral:rRNA from 1 species
GACGAACCGAGCGAACGUUUAUUCGGAAUCACUGGGCUUAAAGGGCGCGUAGGCGGGCCACAAAGUCCGCGGUGAAAUCCUCCAGCUCAACUGGAGAACAGCCGCGGAUACUGGUGGCCUCGAGGGGGGCAGGGGCAUCUGGAACUGGUGGUGGAGCGGUGAAAUGCGUUGAUAUCAUCAGGAACUCCGGUGGCGAAGGCGAGAUGCUGGACCUCUACUGACGCUGAGGCGCGAAAGCCAGGGGAGCGAACGGGG